rnacentral:rRNA from 1 species
CUAGACGAGUUUGAUCAUGGCUCAGAACGAACGCUGGCGGCAUGCCUAACACAUGCAAGUCGAACGAACCCUUCGGGGUUAGUGGCGCACGGGUGCGUAACGCGUGGGGAUCUGCCCAAAGGUUCGGAAUAACUCAGAGAAAUUUGAGCUAAUACCGGAUAAUGUCUUCGGACCAAAGAUUUAUUGCCUUUGGAUGAACCCGCGUAGGAUUAGCUUGUUGGUGGGGUAAAGGCCUACCAAGGCGACGAUCCUUAGCUGGUCUGAGAGGAUGAUCAGCCACACUGGGACUGAGAUACGGGCCAGACUCCUACGGGAGGCAGCAGUGAGGAAUAUUGCGCAAUGGGCGAAAGCCUGACGCAGCGACGCCGCGUGGGGGAUGAAGGUUUUCGGAUUGUAAACCCCUUUCAUGAGGAAAGAUAAAGUGGGUAACCACUUAGACGGUACCUCAAGAAGAAGCCACGGCUAACUUCGUG